CAGACCCGACAGCUCUGCUUUCUGGAGCAGAGAUGGCAUGCUCAGCUCUCCCAGGCAGCUCCUACCCAGGAUGGACAUAGGCUAGAAUCUUCCCGUGUUCCGUGCAGGCCUGGUGCCCUCUAAGAUCAGAAGAGGACUUCAGAUGCCCCUGGGACUGGAUUUACGGAUGGCUGCAAGCUGCCAUGUGGCUGCUGGGAAUCAAACUGGCAACUCUUGAGGUCUGCCUGCUGUGCCUUCCCCACCAUGACAGACUGUGAGCCAAAGCAAAGCCCUCCUCCCAUAGGCUGUUUCUGCAGGACCCAGGGAAGAAGAAGGGCAUAUUUCCACUUCUCUGUAUCCUGCGGCCUCCGAAUAGGAGCUGUGACGAAGAAGAGCAUUUGGAUAACAGGCUCCUGGUAGAAACGGGGGAAGCGCUCCAGAGGAGGUGAACCUGAGGCCGAGAUCAUCGAAACUACCCUGGAGGCUCCAGACUUGACUAGGUACAUCCUUCCUUGGAGGCCAUUGGCCUUCCGGCUGCUCAACAUCCCUGGAAGGCUCCAUCACACCAAAGCAGCAGGCACCUGAAAGGACAGAGGGACAGGAAAACAUAAGCUGCUCUGGAAAACCUGGGUGCAAGACCUGGAGGCCUGUGGCAGUCCCUUUGGUGGAUUCCAGAACCUGUCAUUGUGUCUCUCCUGACUCUACAGUGAGCUGACAGUCUGUCCCCCAAGUAGAGCUGGCAAGAUAAAAUCCAGUAAGUUUCAUUGCAUUGAAUUCCAGGAAAACAUCAAACAAUGCAUGAUUAUUGCCUAGAUACUAGGAAACAUUUUAUAGCCACAGAGUAUCCUACAUCUUAUGUGUGCUAACUGGGCCUCUAAGGGGAAGGUCCCUGUUUAUUUUCUCGUGGUGCUUUUAGUCUUUCAUAUUGGGAUUCCCUCACAGGUAGAAACGUUCUGUAUGUCUCAGAGGAAUGAAUGCUUCUCAGACUUUGGCUAGGCUCUCUCCAGACAUCGUGUUUGUUCAUGUAUGGCCAUCUAGGAAGGAAACCCAGACAAAAAAGCAUGGAGGUUAGCUUUCCAUUCUUCCCCAAGCCUUAGCUGUACCUGUAAGGGGCUAGCCUGUGAACUGGAGGCAGGCCAGGAGGAGUCAUGUACGCAACCAUGGGCUCAGACACUGUCAGGUAAGCUCUUCUGGUCAGCGACCACCACUCUGGCUGCAAACUCCUGUGUGGGUUAGUUGAAGAAGGAAGGGGUCUCAUAGACACGGUACUGCGGUACUGUUCUUUCUUGAGCAGCACACUCUCAGCCUGAGACCUGGACAAACCAUUCCCCUGACUCGAGACUCUUACUCACUGCAACCCUCUGCCUGGGGAGUUCUGACAUUUGGUUGAAACAUGAAUCCAUGGAAUGCAACUGGCAGAUUCCUGAGCUUCAGGCCACCACUUCGGGGAAGACUCUUCCCUUACCGGAGUGGCCACACAGGUGUCUUGACAGGAAUGCACAUGGGCACCUUCUUGAAAGAAACAAAAACAGGAUCAAGGAAAGUCAACAAUGCUGCUAACUUGAAGGUGGAUUAAGAGUACAGGUUCCUGGUUCUGGGGGUGGCUGGAGUCAGAACUAUCUCUCUGUUUUCUUUAUUUGGGAGAUCACGGACAGUAGCUAAAGUUCUGGGUAGAACAACAAGACGGAGUUUGCUGUAGACGAGCCGGCCUGGGCCAUUGCUGUCAUCUGUGAUUUAAGAUAUAACUCACUGACAUGAAUGAAUGCCUGUCCGGCUGUUCUACUGAGGCCUAUGGGGCAAGGCUACCCCCUUGUGGUAGGGUUUGGGACUGCUCCCUAAGAUGCAAGUUUCAUGUCAGUCAUUUUAAGAAGGUCCAAUUACACAGGAUUAGAUAAAACCUCAACAACAGAGGCUUAAGCACACAAGAUUUACUUCUCCUUCUAAAAGAAAGGCUAAAAAUGGGCAGUCGUAGCUUCUGAGGUCACUCCUCGGUCUCCAAAGACGCAGGCCUGCAUCUAUCACUCAGGUGAAUUAGUCUUAAUGAAUGGUUUCUUCUCAAAGUCACAGGACAGUUACUGGAGCACUAAGCAUAAUAUCCAUAUCGUAACCUGGAUACAAAAAAAAGGGGGAGGGAGGAUAUGGCAGAUGUGAGCUGUGCAUUUGUGUGUUGGAAUGAGGUCUACCAGCCGAUUCUCCCUUUAAAUAGUCUUUCUGAAACCCUCUAACACAUCCACUGCUAACCCUUUCUAAAUAAAUCAGUCGCUACCACCACGGAAGUAAAGGAAUAAAUCUCGAAGGGCAGCCGCGGCGUUUGUGUCUUUGGGAACCAAGCAGGCUUGAGGCUUUCAAAGCCAUUUGACUUUCCUGGCUGUAGGUACGUGCUGGACUCUCUCACCUGGAGCCAGCCCUGAAGCCAGGAGGUCUGGAGGAUUCUGGCAGGACUGUUUCAGGGUGGCUGCUGCCAGGAAUUAGAGGCAAAAUCCCACAAAUCUUUCUUACACUGAGACCUGGCUCAUCUCUGUGGGAUUGUGGGCAGGCGAGGCGGAGUAUGGGUAAAGGGUAACAGUUUGUGGGGUGCUCAUUGGUAGAGGGGGAAAGAGUGGUUGUGGUUCCACAGAUCUUGGUCACUGAGAGCUGCCUGAAGUCCUAGAGCCCUAGUUGGUUUUUGGUUGAGGCAGAGGAUCUGGCUCUUGGCAGCCUAUGGAGGAAUCUUGAGUGAAAACCUAACCACGAACAGGUCAGACCUAUUUCCCUAGAUACAUGAAGACGACCACCCAGGCUUAGCGGGAAUGACAGGCUGCUCUGGUCCUGCAGACUUUAGUGAUGCAAUCAGUACGGCCCUGGACACACUGGAAGAGCCAAUCAGUUUAGGAACAUGCACGAGAUAAGUAUCUUCCAGGGACCCUUAGCUUUGCCUACUGGGUGCUCGGGGCUAGAUACCUGUGAGUUACAGCCAGGGCUCAGAAUCAUCAGGUUCUGUUUUUACAGAGACGGGAUAUGUGGACCAGAAUAAAGUAGCAAGGGGAGGGGGAGGAGAAAUCAGCAAAUCUUCCAAAUUCUGCAACAUCAUCCAGAGAGCCCAGGGUCGGGCUGCUUCCUUCUCGGUUCCACCCACAGGGUCACGUGUCAGCAGCCCUCCAGAACACAUCAAGUUACUUCUGGAGUUCCUACCCGGAAUGGAUCCCCCCCCCCCAUUCAUGUACUUGGUGAGGUCCUGUUGCCCUUUCAAGUUGCAGUUUAGGACUCACCUCUGUGGAGCCUUCUCUAGCCCCCCUCUCCUGGACAUGCUAAAUACUCUCUCGCACUGGCCACCAUUGUACCUGGCGUGCCCAACCACACUGCAGCCGGUUGUCACUCUGUGGCACACGUCAGUUUCUUACACUGUCCAAUCAUCUCCCAAGAUUUCUAAGUCCUAACCCUAAGGCAAGAGUCACACCGUGUGGUUCGUAUCAUAGAUACUUAAUUUAUUAGGAGGGUUGAUCAGCGGGUGUGGAUGUUUCUUUAUGUUUGUGUUUAUUGAAUGUGUUCCAUUCUGGGCAGCAGAAUAUUGGCCACAACUCUCAGUUGCCUCCACUCCUACUGAUUUAUCUGUUGAAUGGUUUAUUUAACAUGAGGAUUUAUAAAGCCAAAAGGGGAUUUAUAAGAAAAUAUUGCCAUGGAGAAUAAA